rnacentral:rRNA from 1 species
UACGUAUGGGGCAAGCGUUAUCCGGAUUUACUGGGUGUAAAGGGAGCGUAGGCGGUAUGGCAAGUCAGAAGUGAAAGCUCGAGGCUCAACCUCGGAAUUGCUUUUGAAACUGUCAAACUAGAGUGUCGGAGGGGUAAGCGGAAUUCCUAGUGUAGCGGUGAAAUGCGUAGAUAUUAGGAGGAACACCGGCGGCGAAGGCGGCUUACUGGACGAUUACUGACGCUGAGGCUCGAAAGCGUGGGGAGCAAAC